UGGGGAGCACUCCUUAUUCGAUCAUGUCACAACAGAACUAGCAGGGCAAUCAUUAGCAAAGGCUUCCUCCGUGCGAGCAUACUUUUUCACACAGAUGAGCAUAUCUAAAAAGUCUUAGGGGUAGAUUUUGGUCAACGACUUUUUCAAGUCAUUUUUCAAUAGGCCGCCCAUCAUCGCAACCAUCGCGGUCGACUGGUCCAAGUCACGAACCUCUAAGGUCGG
rnacentral:lncRNA from 1 species